rnacentral:rRNA from 1 species
AUUGAACGCUGGCGGCAGGCCUGACACAUGCAAGUCGAACGGUAACAGAAAGCAGCUUGCUGCUUCGCUGACGAGUGGCGGACGGGUGAGUAAUGUCUGGGAAACUGCCUGAUGGAGGGGGAUAACUACUGGAAACGGUAGCUAAUACCGCAUAACGUCGCAAGACCAAAGAGGGGGACCUUCGGGCCUCUUGCCAUCGGAUGUGCCCAGAUGGGAUUAGCUAGUAGGUGGGGUAACGGCUCACCUAGGCGACGAUUCCUAGCUGGUCUGAGAGGAUGACCAGCCACACUGGAACUGAGAAACGGUCCAGACUCCUACGGGAGGCAGCAGUGGGGAAUAUUGCACAAUGGGCGCAAGCCUGAUGCAGCCAUGCCGCGUGUAUGAAGAAGGCCUUCGGGUUGUAAAGUACUUUCAGCGGGGAGGAAGGGAGUAAAGUUAAUACCUUUACUCAUUGACGUUACCCACAGAAGAAGCACCGGCUAACUCCGUGCCAGCCGCCGCCGUAA